GACUGAAUAGCUUAGUGGUAAGAGCAGUCGCCCAGCAAGCGAAAGGUUCGGGUUCGAUUCCCGAUUCAGCG
rnacentral:tRNA from 1 species